rnacentral:lncRNA from 1 species
UUUAAAAGAAAUGGUAGUAAUCAAGGGAUGCACAUAACUAAAACUUCCACCAACUUCGGGCACUGAAAAUGCCAGAAUGAAAUCCAUGUUGGACCGAAACAAAGAUCAAGUUACUAAUAUGACCUUUUACACCAGCUGCAAAAGUCUUCAAAUAAAAUAAAAGAGUUACAUGAAGCCUGAUCAUUUAAACUAUCUAAGCCACUAGUCCCUAAAUUGAGACUUCUUUUUUGCCAAAUACAUAGCUAACAAAACCUCGGCUAUCUCAAGUCAGACUAGGGAAUACAAAACUACCAGAUAAGUUAAAAAUCUUUACAGAAACCUUUCGACCUUGGCUCUGUUGAUGAAUGCAAAAGGUCCAUCGAGCUCUAGAGUCCC